AGAGUUUGAUCAUGGCUCAGAAUCAACGCUGGCGGCGUGCCUCAGACAUGCAAGUCGAACGCGAAAGCCCCCUUCGGGGGGCAAGUAGAGUGGCGCACGGGUGAGUAACACGUAGGUAAUCUACCUUUGGAUGGGGAAUAACAACCGGAAACGGUUGCUAAUACCGCAUAAUGCAGCGGCACCUAAUGGUGACAGUUGUUAAAGCGGGGGAUCGCAAGACCUCGCGUCUGAAGAGGAGCCUGCGGCGGAUUAGCUAGUUGGUAAGGUAACGGCUUACCAAGGCUGUGAUCCGUAGCCGGCCUGAGAGGGCGGUCGGCCACACUGACACUGACAUACGGGUCAGACUCCUACGGGAGGCAGCAGUCGGGAAUUUUGGGCAAUGGGCGAAAGCCUGACCCAGCAACGCCGCGUGAAGGAUGAAAUCCUUCGGGAUGUAAACUUCGCAAGAACAGGAAGAAUAAGUAAGAGUUAAUAUCUCUUACGAUGACGGUACUGUUUGUAAGCUCCGGCUAACUCCGUGCCAGCAGCCGCGGUAAUACGGGGGGAGCAAGCGUUGUUCGGAUUUACUGGGCGUAAAGGGCGCGUAGGCGGCCACCGCAAGUCGACUGUGAAAUCUCCGGGCUUAACCCGGAAAGGUCAGCCGAUACUGCGGGGCUAGAGUGCAGAAGGGGCAACUGGAAUUCUCGGUGUAGCGGUGAAA
rnacentral:rRNA from 1 species